CACGUCAGGCAACGGCAAUCCUAGAACUAUCUGCCACAUCAGAUUUUUCAAACUUUGUGUACUAUUUCUCAAAAGAAAACGAUGUCAUAGCAAAUUAAGAGUAAAUUGUAAAAUCAACAUCGAAAGUGUCGCCGCCUGCAUGUAGAAGUGAUCCCGGGAGAGUCCUCGUUGCUUCACAAACGCCGCAGCAUCCGAAAAAUUCUUCUCGGACCAAGUGGGACGACUGCAAAGAUACAGAUUUACACACUUGUAGAACGCCCACACUUGUGAAAGAAGAAUCGUAGAUUGGAGCGAAGACGUGUCUCUAAGAUAAGGGUUAGGACGAGACCAAGAAAGCACACUCGAAAUGGCUCAGACUAGCGGGAAUUUGUCCGGCAAUAUGCAGCCGCCUCCGCCUUCAGGAGGCAGGUUCUCCGUGGACCUUCAAAGCCUGCCCUCUCUAUCCAACCUUCCGUCACCACUGCAGAUCUUCCAAAUGGUCCGGAACUCCCUGCGACCCUGGGCAGUCUUCUUUAACAUCAACAACUUCAAAACGGCCGUCAGCAUGCAGCGGCUGAAUAGCCGGGUUAUUCGGAAUCUCUCCUACUUUCAGGCCAACUACGUUUUCAUCUUUUUUGUACUGAUGAUCUACUGCCUCAUCACGGCUCCCUGUAUACUGCUGGUCAUCCUGGCUGCCGCCUUUGGCUGCCAUAAAUUGCGCGUGCGCAACAGCAACAUCACCAUCGUGGGACAACAAUUGACGCCCAGCCAGCAGAUCAUCGCACUCAAUCUGGCGACGGCACCUGUGCUUUUCCUGGUGGGCGCGGGAGCGGUUUUGUUUUGGACCCUGGGUGCUUCAUGCUUCGUAAUCGCUAUGCAUGCUAUAUUCUACAAUAUCGAUGCUAUUGUAACGGAGGAGAAUGAGGGCUUCCUCGCCCAGGUAGUCUGACCGCCAGCCAGAAGCUAAAGCCUGAUCUUCUGGGAUAGAGACAACCUGGGAAGAGAUUCAUACGACUAUAUUCCUUUUGGCAAAUCAAUCGCAAGAUAUUAGGCGCAUUCGCGGAGAACUUCGAUUUAAUUCGAAAAAAUUUAAUUUAAACAAAUUUUUCGACCUAACGGAUGUGGUCGUCACUAGACUAGACUCUUGGCACCUACUAUAUCUCAGAUAUUUUCGAGCUCAUGGAUCGUUGAUUAAAACAAUUUUAAGCAUACAUUUUAAAAUGUUGUUCUUUUAAAUAAAGAAUGUGAAUAAUUUAUAAA